rnacentral:rRNA from 1 species
GAUCAUGGCUCAGGAUGAACGCUAGCUACAGGCUUAACACAUGCAAGUCGAGGGGCAGCGCAGUGUAGCAAUGCAGUGGGCGGCGACCGGCGCACGGGUGCGUAACGCGUAUCCAAACCUUCCCGUUACUCUUGGAUAGCCUUCCGAAAGGGAGAUUAAUACAAGAUGGUAUUCAAAUUCCGCAUGUUAUUUGAAUUAAAGAUUAAUCGGUAACGGAUGGGGAUGCGUGACAUUAGAUAGUAGGCGGGGUAACGGCCCACCUAGUCUACGAUGUCUAGGGGUUCUGAGAGGAAGGUCCCCCACACUGGAACUGAGACACGGUCCAGACUCCUACGGGAGGCAGCAGUGAGGAAUAUUGGUCAAUGGUCGGAAGACUGAACCAGCCAAGUAGCGUGAAGGAUGAAGGUUCUAUGGAUUGUAAACUUCUUUUAUACGGGAAUAAAACCACCUACGUGUAGGUGCUUGUAUGUACCGUAUGAAUAAGCAUCGGCUAACUCCGUG